rnacentral:rRNA from 1 species
CCUUGUACACACCGCCCGUCAAACCAUGAGAGUUGGCAACACCCGAAGUCGGUAGUCUAACCGCAAGGAGGACGCCGCCGAAGGUGGGGUUGAUGAUUAGGGUUAAGUCGUAACAAGGUACC